GUGUCAGCAGCCGCGGUAAUACAGAGGUGGCAAGCGUUGUUCGGAAUUACUGGGCGUAAAGGGCGCGUAGGCGGUCUCUUAAGUCUUGUGUGAAAUCCCUCGGCUCAACUGAGGAACUGCACGGGAUACUGGAAGACUUGAGUUCGGGAGAGGGAAGCGGAAUUCCGGGUGUAGCGGUGAAAUGCGUAGAUAUCCGGAGGAACACCGGUGGCGAAGGCGGCUUCCUGGACCGACACUGACGCUGAGGCGCGAAAGCUAGGGGAGCAAACGGGAUUAGAUACCCCCGUAGUCC
rnacentral:rRNA from 1 species